rnacentral:tRNA from 1 species
GGGAGUAGCUCAGUUGGCUAGAGCAUCAGCCUUCCAAGCUGAGGGUCGCCGGUUCGAGUCCGGUUUCCC